rnacentral:rRNA from 1 species
GAUGAACGCUGGCGGCGUGCUUAACACAUGCAAGUCGAACGAAGCAUUUGCGACAGAUUUUUUCGGAAUGAAGUUGCUUAUGACUGAGUGGCGGACGGGUGAGUAACGCGUGGGUAACCUGCCUUGUACUGGGGGAUAGCAGCUGGAAACGGCUGGUAAUACCGCAUAAGCGCACAAUGUUGCAUGACAUGGUGUGAAAAACUCCGGUGGUAUAAGAUGGACCCGCGUCUGAUUAGCUAGUUGGUGAGAUAACAGCCCACCAAGGCGACGAUCAGUAGCCGACCUGAGAGGGUGACCGGCCACAUUGGGACUGAGACACGGCCCAGACUCCUACGGGAGGCAGCAGUGGGGAAUAUUGCAAAAUGGAGGAAACUCUGAUGCAGCGACGCCGCGUGAGUGAAGAAGUAAUUCGUGAUGUAAAGCUCUAUCAGCAGGGAAGAUAGUGACGGUACCUGACGAAGAAGCUCCGGCUAAAUACGUG